UGGGGAAUAUUGCACAAUGGGGGGAAACCCUGAUGCAGCGACGCCGCGUGAGCGAAGAAGUAUUUCGGUAUGUAAAGCUCUAUCAGCAGGGAAGAAGAAUGACGGUACCUGACUAAGAAGCACCGGCUAAAUACGUGCCAGCAGCCGCGGUAAUACGUAUGGUGCAAGCGUUAUCCGGAUUUAUUGGGUUUAAAGGGUGCGCAGGCGGACUUGUCAAGUCAGCGGUAAAAUUCGGGGCUCAACCCCGUCCUGCCGUUGAAACUAGCGAGACUGGAGUGCGACAGAGGAAGGCGGAAUGCGAGGUGUAGCGGUGAAAUGCAUAGAUAUCGCGCAGAACUCCGAUUGCGAAGGCAGCCUUCCAUGUCGUAACUGACGCUGAGGCACGAAAGCGUGGGGA
rnacentral:rRNA from 1 species